ACCUUGGCUUUAGACUGCUUACUGCUUUAAAAAAAAGUCUCACAGUUACAGUAACAGUCUACAGUCAUGGCU
rnacentral:pre_miRNA from 2 species